GGCCCAAUAGCACAGUUGGUUAGUGCGUCUGCUCCAAAUGAUGGGAACGCAUUGCAAGCAGGAGGACCCUCGUUCAAUUCGGGGUUGGGCCA